rnacentral:tRNA from 1 species
AGCAGGGUGGCUCAGUGGAAAGAGCGCGGGCUUUCGAGUCAGAGGACAUGGGUUCUCAUCCCAGCUCUGCCA